ACCACCGUUGAAGAGGCCAGAGAUGGAGCAGGCCCAGGGGAAUCAACAACGAAGCCGCCGUCAGCAAGCCUAACAGGCGUUUGCAGAUAAGAUCGCCUGAACCCUUCUGGUGGGCAGGCAUGCUCUCCUGAGGACUGAGCCCAGUUCCAUGCAAAUUACCCAGUACCUC